GCACUUCUGAAGAGUCCCAAACACGAUGAAACAGCUGUCCAGUGC
rfam:Echinostoma caproni strain Egypt genome assembly, scaffold: ECPE_scaffold0002390